rnacentral:rRNA from 1 species
AAUUUUGGACAUUGGGGGUAACCCUGAUCCAGCUAUCCCGCGUUUUCGAUGAAGGCCUUCAGGUUGUAAAGCACUUUUGUCAGGGAAGUAAAGGCUCUGGCUAAUACCCGGAACUGAUGUCGGUACCUGUUGAAUAUGCUCCGGCACACUCCGUGCCAGCAUCCGCGGUAGUAUGUAGGAUGCAAGCUUUAAUCGGAAUUACUGGGCGUAAAGCGUGCGCAGGCGGUUCGGAAAGAAGGAUGUGAAAUACCAGGGCUCAACCUUGGAACUGCAUUCUUAACUACCGAACUAGAGUAUGUCAGAGGGGGGUAGAAUUCCGCGUGUAGCAGUGAAAUGCGUAGAUAUGCGGAGGAAUACCGAUGGCGAAGGCAGCCCCCUGGGAUAAUACUGACGCUCAUGCACGAAAGCGUGGGUAGCAAACAGG